CUGGUGAGACGUGAGGAACCUGGAGAGGUGGAGGAGGAGAAGUGGAGGAGGAGGAGGAGGUGUGAUGAGCUGAAGGGAAGGACACAGGAUUAAUUCCGUAAACAGACAGGAGUAAACAGAGCUGACAGGAAAGGGCUGAGCGAUGGUGUUCCCCGUCAUGUGCAGUGACUCUCUGAGGUCUGCAGUGCAAAUGAAGAAUAUUCCACUUCUCUCUGAGCUGCUUGGAAUUGCUAAUCGGCAAGGAUUUAUUAUUUGUUGAACGUGUUACUGUGAGCUGUGUGAAGAAACAUUACAAUCAGCACGAGAGGAUCUCUGUGUUCACAAAUCUCAAAAUCUGCCCUUGAUGGAAAUGGACACGGAAUAUCCUGGAGCAGCUGGGAUGUGAAGAAAGCCGCAUCAAGAAAACCGUGAUUCUGAAUGGACCGCCUUGUAGCGAUUGGGUUGGGGUUGGGGUUGGGUGACCCAGGGUUAGGGUUAGACCAGUUUGGUGACGUUAUGGGGACAUGCAGCCAAAUAUUAAGUGUUAUUUACUUUAAUUGACUUCAAGACGUAUCUGUUCCUAUACUUUUGCUCACCUGAAAAUUGAGUGGUCUGAUACAAAAGGUUCUAUUUUAUGUUGUCUAGAUGUGUUCGGACCUUGUUUAAAAUUAAAUAUAUCGUGUGAUAUUAA